UACGUAGGGGGCAAGCGUUGUCCGGAUUUAUUGGGCGUAAAGAGUGUGUAGGCGGCCAUACAGGUCAGCUGUGAAAACUCGAGGCUCAACCUCGAGACGUCGGUUGAAACCGUAUGGCUAGAGUCCGGAAGAGGAGAGUGGAAUUCCCGGUGUAGCGGUGAAAUGCGCAGAUAUCGGGAAGAACACCCGUGGCGAAGGCGGCUCUCUGGGACGGUACUGACGCUGAGACGCGAAAGCGUGGGGAGCAAACAGG
rnacentral:rRNA from 1 species